rnacentral:misc_RNA from 1 species
GGGGAGCAGAGACGCCAGCCAGGGGGGAAGCAUACAAUUCAAUUUCAACAAAGACGCUCCUUUCCCUCGCAACACACGCUUACAAAAUACUAGUAAACAGUGCCUUAAAUGUGGAUCCUCAACUCCAGAUAAAGAUUAAACAGUCAGAUUUAUCAAACUAUGAACACCAGUUAGCUGGCAUUUAAUGCCAAAUCAUAUCAAUCUACAGAAUCCAAAGCCAGAUACUAAGAGAAGAAGAGAAUCCAAAUCCCCAUCAAUGCUCUUAAUUGCAGCACGAUUCUGCAGCGGAAAAACCUUCUUUUUCUAUGUCAAAAUGCAUAUUUCUUUCCAUGUAUAAAAACUCCCACCGCUGCCCCUUUUGUUUUCUUUCCAUUCAAAAACUGCUCUGCUCUCUCUCUCUCUCUAUCUAUUUAUACAUCACCUAGUAAAUGGAGAUGAACCCACCAAGGAACAAAAUGAAGAGGGCUAGCGGUUUCUCUCUGGUGAGUGAAGAUGUUAUUGAAAAUAUACUCUCUAGGCUUCCUGCCUUGUCAUUUGCUUCCGCAGCCUGCGUUAGCAAAUGCUGGAACAAGGUGUGCGGUCGAAUCCUCUCAAGGCCUAAGGUUGCCUCUGCUCUCUCUCUCAACCCUUCCCUCCAUGAUGCUGUGAAUGAGGUUUUUGAAAAGGUUCUGUCCGAGCCUAUUUCUCCUCACUUUGCAAUUGCCUGUAUUGGCAAGCAAUUCAGCUUGGAAGUGGCUCACCAACUAAUAACACAAAAAUUGGGCUCAAAAGUGCCAGUAAUUACUAAUGCAGCCAGUGGAAUCAUCGGUGCUGAUGCUCGUAGCGAUGAACUAAGGGAGAUUAGGUGGGAAUCAAGUGAUGACGAUGAUGAUGAUGAUCAGGAUGAUGAGACUGAUUCUCAAGGAGACAGUCUACUUGAUAAAGGAAUCGUUUUGGUUGUUGGAUUUGUACCUGGACUCAAAGUUGAUGCAAUCCCACUGUUGCGACCAAAGACGGUACCUCAAAUAGCUUUGGUUGACAAAUUUUUGAUGGAUAUUAGUAGCUUCACAGCGUCUGUUUCAGAUUGCUUAUCACCUGCUGGGAUCAUAUUGUUUGGAGAUCGAAACAUCGAUAUGAAACCUAUCCUUGCAAAAAUGGAUUGUGCCAUGAAUGAGGAAACAGUCAUUGUGGGUGAUGCAACUGGCUGCUUCUUGUGCAGAAGGGCAGAUGAUUCUCAAAAUGACCAUGCAGAUACGAACUUAGAUGCUGUUGCCCUUGUAUUUGCAAGGGACAAACAUAAGUCUGAUGGGGCAGGUAUAGGAGAAAUUCAAUUUCAUGUCACAUUGUCAACUGGCGUAAUGCCAUUUGGUCCCCAACUCCAGGCAGUUUGUGUUAUAGCAAAAGACACAGAGUGUUCAUGGCUUACUGCCAGAUUGCAAGGACAGUAUGAAAUUCUUGAUGGGGAGGGCCUCUUAGGUGAUAUUAGUGAUCAGUUCAAUGGCGAAGAGUCUCCUGAUCUCUACAUUGGAGUUGUACAGCAAAGAGAAUGCUGUAUUGGAGCAGAGAGUUCAUCAAGGGCAUCCUUGGCGUUUUAUGAAGUUCUUGGGGGCGAUAAAGAGUUCUUUAUAAUUAACGGUGUUGGCAUCAAACCUGGUGAUUCUUUCCUAUUCUACCAUUCAGACUCUGAUACUGCAUCAUCGUCAUGUGGCGACGCCUACAGAAACCUUGCAAAUCUGAAGGAAGAAUCGAAAAGGAAAAACUGCCUGCGUCCGAGGAAUGUUGAAGAGGAAGAGGUGUUUGGAGGUUUAAUUUUCUCUUGUGUUCACCGGGGUGAGUCAUUCCACCAUAAUGCAGAUAGCUUCCCAUUCCGCGAAAACUUUCCUGGAGUUCCGCUAGCAGGAGUGUUUUGCAGUGGAGAAAUUGGACGAGGUUCUUCAAGCUCAAUAUCUCAAGAAGAUGAUGAAGAAAACUCUGCUCGUUGCUGCCUGCAUUACCAUAGCACAGUAUACUUGGUUAUGUCAUAUGUUCCAGCAACUUCAGAGCGUUAAAUGCACAAAAGGCAAAUAUAUUUGCCUCUUAGCAAUGGAUGCAUAAAACUUGCCAUAGGGUAUAGCGUUUUUCUAUUGCAUAUAGUUUAGCUUCGUGUAUGUAUCAAAGCUCCAACAAUGCUUGCUGAUGUUGUUUUUGUGUUCUUUGAUGUAUGAAUUAUGAAAUUGAAUUGGGGGGACUUUGCUCCUUCUAAAUACUUUUGUUUGGCAUUGUUGCCAAAUUGCAAAUUAAUAGAUUUUCCCGUGAUGUUUAUG